rnacentral:rRNA from 1 species
UCGGCGUGCACUUCUCCCCUAGUAGGACGUCGCGACCCGUUGAAUUUCGGUCUAUGGCCCAAGUGGGAGCUUUUGAAUUUAUUUUCGAAAACCCUUGGUGUUUCCUGGCCGGAAUUCGGCGGUAUACGCAUGGUAUUGAGCCGCUCAUUAAUAUGUGCGUUCUUAUCCAUCGCAAGCGAGGUUAGUUACUGAUAGUUCGGACCUAGUGCCGGCGUUGGUGCUAAUCAGCUGUUGGUUGUAUGGAAUUCUAGAACUGGCUCUAUGAAAUACCGGUCAGCGAUGCUACUGCUUUGGGUACUUUCAGGACCCGUCUUGAAACACGGACCAAGGAGUCUAACAUGUACGCGAGUCAUUGGGAUUAUUUUAAAUUAAACCUAAAGGCGUAAUGAAAGUAAAGGUCUUCCUUGUGUUGACUUAGGGAAGAUGGGCUAUGUUAUGAUAUAGCUCCGCACUCCCGGGGCGUCUCAUUCUCAU